AACUAACACCUAGCUAAGAAAAGAGCGGGGCCAUGAAAAAAGUGCGCAGCUUUUCAUCCUCACCAUUGUGAACCACAUUUUUCCUUUCUCAAACUAAUUCCUCCAUGAAAUCUCACCAAAAAAACAAACAUCACCUAUUCAUAGCUGAUUAAAAUCAUCAAAACCCAAUAAUACCAUCAUGUACAAAGCUUAGUAAUCACCGUGUCUAGUAACUGCCUUUCCACCGUGCGAAUCACCAAAAUACCACAAUAUAUUAUGUUCCUCUUAAUCUUUUUAAAAACAGAGCAAAUAUUCUAGGCUAGAGCUUUUCAUGUGGUGCAAGAAUAAAGAUUGAUGAAAUUAGGUACAAUAACAAAGUGAAAAAUCAGACGCGUAUGCUACACAUGAAUUGGAAAAGGAAAAAGGCACAAUCAAAGUUAAAGGGAAAAUAGAAAUAAUUGAGGGAAUCUUCAAUGACUUUAAGGUCUUGGUUGCUUAGAUCUAGUAGCGAGGAUGUCUGUUCCGAGGUUGGAUAUUUCCGGCGAGGUUGCUGGCGAGUCCUCUGUUCUCUUGGUCGAGUUGUUCUUGUUGAAUUCCCACCCUUGUAUUCAAGAAGUGUUUCUGAUAUAAAAGUUGGGCCUAAAUCAUGCCAAAUCAAAGGUCCAAUCCGUUUGAACUGUCCCAGCCUAGGCUUGUCUGAUGGAGCAUUCAAGCAACAUAGUUUCAAGGCAAAACUACGUCGUUUUAUUUACUGAAUCAGAUAUUAAAUCUCACCAGUCCAUGCCCUGAUGAUCCAACGACUGAAGAUCAAUCCCCCACUCAGGUAUUUAAACCCCUAAAUACCAAAAUAUUUGCUCUAUUUUCCCUAUUUCCUUUCUUUCUCUCCUCUGUCCUCACUCUCUUAAACUCCCCGCGUCUCCACUACCCCUCACGGUGGCUCUGCUGGCCGAAAAUCGCCACCACCGGCCGGUCUUCAUCCAAACCCCAUAAAACCUUACAACAAUCUCUUUCUCUUUUUACCCUCUCUCCUAAUUCGAGCCCCAAAUCUUCAAAAAUCCCUCUAAAUUCUGUGAAAUCAAAACCUUAGAUAGCCGCCAUUUAUUUUCCUCUUCAAUUUCACGAAGAACCAGUGACUACACCCCCCACAAAAACUACAUGAACAUGUAGAUCUCAAUGAGAUCUACACUUUCCUUUUAACUUCAUCCCAAAAACACCACCGCCGCCGAUCCAACUAGCCCACUAUCCAAGCCACCCUUACCAUUGACAAGCCUCAAUGUUUAUAAUAUUUUUGACCCAUGGACACCCAUUUCCUUUAGGUAUGAAUCUGAAUUUAUUGAAUUUAGCGUCUGCCAAAAUGAAACGUGUGCUUCAAGGUCAGACAGCCACGUUUUGAUGACCCCGACAUCUCUUCGUUGCUCGAUUUGGCAUCGACUUUCCCUCAUAUGGUAAAACCCUACCUCCCUUUCUUUUUAUUUUUCUUUCUUUCCUUUUCUGUUUUUGUUUUUGCUAUUUAGAUUUCAGUUGAUUUCUUCGCUUGAUUUGGUCAUUCCUGAUUCAUUUGGCUGCACUAAUAUAAUUUGAAAUAGUUGUAUUAUCUAAUCGUUAGUCAUUUUUUGCUAUUAAUUAUUGUCUGAUAGUGCAGCAAUACUAUGUUUAAAUUUGUUUAGUGCAAUAGGUUAUAGUUUCAGUUGCUCUAUGUUAAUUUUCUCAUAAAUCAAACUGAUUUUAGUCUGGUUUAUUUGAAUGCUUAGCUUGGUUACGAUUGAAGUCAUAUUUACUUUGUCAAUUCAAUUAGUGAGUUAAGUUCUAGUUUAAGUUUGAUUUAUGUUGAUCUAGUUUGGUGUUGAUAGUUUAAAGUUGGAUGGUAGAUGAGUUUAAUCAUGAAAUAUGACACUUUAGUAGCCUACUUCUUACUAGUAGGGUGGCUGAAAGGACCCCUUUCCUCCGUACUUCUGCCACAGUAGGUUUCAGGCUAUCAUUUCACCUUUUGGGAAGCCUUUGAACUGUGUUUAGCAUACAAAAUCGAUUUUUUUAGAUUGAUUUUUGGUGAAUCAAAAUUUGUCCAAAAAAUGACUUUCUUUGCCUACUUACGGGCUGCUCUUUCCUUACUUUAAGCUUACAAAACUAUCAUAUAUAGAAGACAUCUUUUACACACUAAAAACACAUAACUAAAUAGAGUAAAACAACAGCUAAAAUUUUAUAGUGAGAGCUGAAACUGGUGAGCUUCGGGUGAAUGUUUCUCAGAGUGUAUCACUUGUGAGAAAAUAAAGGAAUCCUUGGUGGUUGCCGGAGUAAGUAGCUACUGGUAUCAAAUACUUUCUUGCUAGAUUUUUCUGGGUUUUUUUCUCGGGUUAUAAGUUGUUGAUUUUGUUGCUGAAAUUCAAUUCCUCCCUUGAUGACAUUUUCUUUCUACUAUCCAGGUAAUUUUCUUAAAAUGCUACUAUAAUUUUGAGUCAAGAUUGAAUGGACACGAAGUAAUUUGAGUUUCUUUUCAAUUUAUUUUAAGCUUUAAAAGCACUUUGUUCUUGUAAGGUUUUGUGUGUGAGCAUAUAUGAUAAAUUUUGGACUUCUAUGUAUAUUCUAGUUGACAAAAUGUCUUAAACCUUCUGGUUCUUAGUUGCUUUGUUAUUAUGACUCACUAUCACCUUUGUUUCAUGAAACUGCUAGUAAAACAAAAAUGCAAGUGAUGCAUA